GCCUCAUAACCGAACGCAACAACGCCCAGGUCCAACGGAACUUAGACGAUCUCCAAGUUAAAAAAAAAUAUCAUUGCCGACAGUGGUUUAUUUUAGCUGAAAGGAACACCAACGUCCAUCCAUCCAUGUGGUGAUCCAGAGAGAGCUUCCCAUCGAAGAAUAGAGCAAAUUCGAAGCCGGAGCAGGAUCCUCCUUCGCCUCCUUUAUUAUCCGUCUGUCUUUUCUUGUCGUGCCCACAUCGUUGGAUAAGCUUCUCAAUCUCUUCCCGACCCCCUCCAAGAAAUCCAAACCGCUACCGGUUAGGUUUAUAUUUUCUUGGGGUGGAGGGAGAGGCGGGUGGAGGUGUCGGAGAUGGCGUUCUUGUUGGGGUUGUUCCUGGGAGUCGUGGUUGGGGUCGGGCUGGUGAUGGGCUUCGUCCGUUCCGAGAAUUACCGAUCCAAGCAGCGAUCCGAGCUGGCUGCUACAGUGGCAGCUUUCUCGAAGAUGACAGUCGAAGAUUCCAGAAAGAUUCUUCCAGCUCAAUUUUACCCAUCAUGGGUUGUUUUCUCACACCGCCAGAAGUUGACCUGGCUCAACCUUGAAUUGAUGAAAAUCUGGCCUUAUGUGAAUGAGGCAGCAUCUGAGCUGAUAAGGACUUCUGUUGAGCCAGUUCUUGAACAAUAUAGAUCAGCCAUCUUAGCUUCACUUAAAUUUUCAAAGCUAACUCUUGGUACUGUUGCUCCACAAUUUACAGGAGUUUCUAUCAUUGAAGAUGAUAUUUCUGGGAUUACUAUGGAGUUGGAGUUGCAGUGGGAUGGUAAUCCAAGUAUUAUACUUGAUAUUCGAACAAAACUUGGUGUGGCACUUCCUAUACAGGUGAAAAACAUUGGUUUUACUGGGGUAUUCCGUUUAAUCUUUAAACCAUUGGUGGAGGAGUUCCCCUGCUUUGGUGCCAUCUCUUAUUCAUUGAGAGAGAAGAAAAAGCUGGAUUUUACUCUCAAAGUUAUCGGCGGUGAAAUAUCAUCUAUUCCUGGAAUUUCCAAUGCAAUUGAGGGAACAAUACGUGAUGCCAUUGAAGACACCUUAACAUGGCCAGUAAGAAAAAUUGUUCCCAUUUUACCCGGAGAUUACAGUGACCUAGAACUGAAACCUGUUGGAAUACUGGAAGUAAAGCUUGUCCAGGCAACGGGCUUAACGAAUAAAGACUUGAUAGGAAAAUCUGAUCCCUAUGCUGUGUUGUACAUACGUCCAUUGCAUGACAGAAUGAAGACUAGUAAAGUAAUUAACAAUGAUUUGAGCCCUAUCUGGAAUGAACACUAUGAGUUCAUUGUUGAGGAUGCAUCUACUCAGCAUUUGACAGUAAAGAUAUAUGAUGAUGAAGGGAUCCAGGCAUCCGAGCUUAUUGGUUGUGCUCAAGUGAAGUUAAAGGACCUUCAGCCUGGAAAAGUGAGGGAUGUCUGGUUGAAACUUGUCAAAGAUCUGGAAGUCCAAAGAGACAGGAAAGAUAGGGGUCAGGUGCAUCUAGAGCUUCUGUACUGUCCUUUUGGCAUGGAGAAUGAGUUUUCUAAUCCUUUUGCCAGUCAAAAUUUCUCAAUGACUUCUUUGGAGAAGGCCCUCAAAAGUGAGGUGAAUGGAAUCGAGGCGGAGAUUGACCGGACAACUCUUAGGAAAAAGGAUGUUAUUAUGCGAGGAGUUCUCUCUGUGACAGUUAUAUCUGCAGAAGAUUUGCCUGCAAUGGAUGUGAUGGGGAAGGCAGACCCAUUUGUUGUGCUGCGUAUGAAGAAAUUAGAAACAAAGAACAAAACAAGGGUAGUAAAUGAAAGCUUGAAUCCGACCUGGAAUCAGACUUUUGACUUUGUCGUGGAAGAUGGACUACAUGAUUUGCUUAUCUUGGAAGUUUAUGACCAUGAUACAUUUGGAAAGGAUUACAUCGGGAGAUGCAUCAUGACGCUAACAAGGGUGAUAAUGGAGGGAGAAUUCACUGAUAGCUUUCCUUUAGAGGGGGCUAAAUCUGGAAGGCUGAAUUUGCAUCUUAAGUGGGCACCGCAGCCAAUUUACCGGGAUACAUAAUGGAUAAAAGCUAAAGUGACUCUCUCUCUCUCUGCAUGUGUGCAUGUGUGCUGAGGAUUAGAUUAGUCCACUUUUAUACCCUCCUGUAAUGAAGAGCAGGCAUGCCGCUUUGCUGAAUGUAAAUCAUGAUAUAUACGAGAACAAAUAGAAGAAUGGAAAUGCCUUAGGAAUAUUCACAAUUUGUCAGCCUUGCAGACCCUAUCAUAUUGUUGAGUAAAUAGUGAAAUAACAAACACUUCAACCUGUCACUUCAUCCCCAUCUGGCUAGAAGAGUCGCACCUUGCAGGCAGGACCAGGAAGCAUGUGAUGCAGUGAUGCCUUCCCAUAAUGUUCAUUGUUGCAGCAUUGGUCAGCCUUAUAGGGGAUGUUGGUGAUAUAUGGUUGUCUACAAUUGUGUUGGAGAGGUAAAACGAGACAAACGUAUUGGCAUGCAUAAAUUGUCUCCUCAUUCCUGUAGCAGCUGCUUUCCUGCCAGUGCAUCACUGCUGUAUCCUGCACUCCGUACGAGAAAGUUAUAUUUUCGGUCUUGCUGCGGUAUUCGAUGCUUCAUGGACGUGUAGCCUUUGUGUUCUUGGUUCUAACUAGAAAUGUAACUCGCGUGGAGGUUUAUUUUUGGGUGGUGGGGGGAAGGUUAAUACUAGGUGCAUUGUAUCUUAUUAAAUGAUGGUUGUACUUUAACCAUCAAAAAAAAAAAAAAGAUGGUUUUAAAUUUCCUGCAUAGGAACAGAGAUAUAUGUUGAAUUUUGCCUUUUCUUUUCUUUUUUUUUUUGCCUAGUCUAGAAUAAUCUUGAAGGUUGUCUCAACACUGCAGAGUUACAACCUUCUAGCCAAUUUUGUGCCGCGCAGCCUUGGAAUAUGGCAAUGUCAGGUUAAUCAAAGGAUGCCAUACCGAGUGUUGAAGCUUUAUCUGCCAAUCUUCAUAUAGCUGCAGUUUAUCACCAAUCAAUGCUAGCUCGAGGUUCAAUUUAUGCAAUCGCUGUUCCCUUUUAUCGGAAAUUAUGGAGUGACGCCACGAUUAACCAAGUUGCUUGGCUGGGGUUCCGAGGUUGUUUGAAGUAAAUCUCAAGAUGUUCAUGAUGCUGCGUGGUCAUUGUCUGUAAUUUUAUCGAGGCCAAUCCAUGACUCUAAUUCGGCCACUCUCAAGACGUGAAAUUUGGAUACUGUCUAUAA